UCUUCUGAUCACAGCUGGCUCCCUCAUGAAUAAUUACAUAUUGUAUGCCACAUAUGUGAUAACCAUUUUUGCAUUACUGGUCGUUACAGGUUAGCUUAUACAAAAAGCUGCCAUGGAUGUUUCAAUUUACCUGCUCUUGGCGAGUCUUCGUACUCGAUUCGGGAAAAAAAUGUAUCUUGGAAAAUGUCCGCGUCAAGUUGCAGGUGGUUCUACAAAAACCAGACAAAACUCAACGGUAGGACACCCCUUUGGUCACACUGUGCGAUGCACUGUCAUCUACAAGUGGCCGCGUCGCAUAUAAAUAUUAGUUCCUGCAAAGAUGAUGGAAAAUCCUAAAUGUGCGUUUGCUAAAAUGUCAAGAAACAUUGAGUUUUGUCUGUUUUUUUGUAGAACCACCUGCAACUGGACACAUUUCAGAUACAUUUCCACCGAAUCGAGAACCAAGACAGUAUCGCCAUGAGCAGUUGGACUUGUUGACUGAUUGCCAAGGCGGUGGUUGCUAAGAAGAAAGGAGCUUCUGUGAAACACAAGAUUGCAGCCAAGGCAGCACUGGUUCACACCUGCCUUGUCUGUCGGAUGCAGACCCAAAGACAUUCAAGCAGCACUUUGACAGCAAGCAUCCCAUGUCUCCAAUGGUCCCAGUACCGGUUGAUGUGCAGACAUAAGUGACCUCACACACUCAAAUGGACCUAUAGCUGGGACACACGGUGACCACGAUUUGAAUGCUUACAGCUGACACGGAAUGACGUGACCCCGAGAAUGACUGGACAUGGGCUGGAUAUUUGUGACAACAACCUAAAAGGGGUGCAGACGCACACUAGCACCCAAUUUUAUGUUUAUUCCAUAGCCAAUUAUAUCUCUAGCUAACCCCUUAUUCCACACUAUGCCUUUUAUGCCCUGUGGUCCCUCAACUGCUGACACUUUGUAACUCUCCAUCUUAUAAACCCACACUACCUUCACCCAUUUUCCCUAUGCUGCUUAUUAACGUAUUAUUCUCCUGAUUUGAUAACAUUUAGACUCAAUAACAUGUUUCAAGGUGCUUACACAUGAGCGGUGGUAAGCGGCAAUUGAACCACGAGAAAAUCCGCCUACCAUGUGUAGAGACCAGUGAUCCAGGUUGUUGUCAGCUUGAAAGUUGUCAUUAAAACAUUGUUUGAUUGGUUGACAAGAUGAACUCUGCUCAUUGGUCAACAAUGCGCGGCGGCAGCUCAGGACUUCAGCUAAUGACAUCUUUUGGUGCCUCGGGCUCCGAGUCAGCUUCGCCUCUCAUGGGAGCGAGCACCACGAACAGGGCCGCUUGCAAAACUGCUUGCAUUUUGCUGCCAGCCGCUCUACUCCAAUUGAAGUCUGUAAACGCUUACCACGGCCUGUUACCUUUUUGUGGUGUACUGUUUUUGCUACCUUUAGACUGAAUGAUGUGGUAAAUGUGUUUCUCACAAUUGACAGCCGCAACAUGGAUCUGUUAAAUUGACAAGGGUGUUGAUAUAGUUGAAUUUAGGCAUGGCUUUCUUGUUUUGAGUCUGUUAAGUUUUUCUCAUUGAAAUGUAUUUAUUUAUAAAGCCCUUCUUACAUCA